rnacentral:rRNA from 1 species
ACUUACGGCAACACCGGCCUGAGUACGCCUGAUCUCGUCCGAUCUCGGAAGCUAAGCAGGGUCGGGCCUGGUUAGUACUUGGAUGGGACACAGCCUGGCAAUACCAGGUGCUGUAAGCU